AACGAACGCUGGCGGCAUGCCUAACACAUGCAAGUCGAACGAGACCUUCGGGUCUAGUGGCGCACGGGUGCGUAACGCGUGGGAACCUGCCCUUAGGUUCGGAAUAACUCCCCGAAAGGGGUGCUAAUACCGGAUAAUGUCUUCGGACCAAAGAUUUAUCGCCUUUGGAUGGGCCCGCGUUGGAUUAGCUAGUUGGUAGGGUAAAAGCCUACCAAGGCGACGAUCCAUAGCUGGUCUGAGAGGAUGAUCAGCCACACUGGGACUGAGACACGGCCCAGACUCCGAAGGGAGGCAGCAGUGGGGAAUAUUGGACAAUGGGCGAAAGCCUGAGCCAGCAAGGCCGCGUGAGUGAUGAAGGCCUUAGGGUGGUAAAGCUCUUUUACCCGGGAUGAUAAUGACAGGACCGGGAGAAUAAGCUCCGGCUAACUCCGU
rnacentral:rRNA from 1 species